UACAGAGGUGCCGAGCGUUAGGCGGAAUCACUGGGCUUAAAGCGUGUGUAGGCGGACUUCUAAGUACCUUGUGAAAUCCCACGGCUCACCCGUGGAACUGCUGGGUAUACUGGUCGUCUUGAGCCACCUAGGGGCGAGCGGAACAAAUGGUGGAGCGGUGAAAUGCGUAGAUAUCAUUUGGAACGCCAACGGUGAAAACAGCUCGCUGGGGGUGUGCUGACGCUGGGACACGAAAGCCAGGGGAGCGAACGGG
rnacentral:rRNA from 1 species